UUAUGUGUCACAGUUCGUAGAUGCGGAUGUGACGCGGGAACGACGUUGGGUUGUAUUUCGUUUGUGGUGGUUAACCCCAUCAACUGUGCAGACAGACAUGUGGAAGUCUCGUUAAUAUAACGUAAGAGUGGCUUUUUAGCUGGCUCGUCCUACAUAAACAGUCCUUAAUUGGUUAAAUACCACCUCACGACCGUUUGAGGCGGUUGAAUUUCUACCUGCGUGGAGCUGAAUCAGCAAUAAUCGGAACAGCGGGAGAAGAGUUCCGUGUUUGGCGCGCUAACAGGCGACCAGUGUGGCGCUAUUGCACCUGCUGAGCUACCAGACGAGAUGUGUUUUAAAGUCCCUCCUCCACAGGUGCAGUGGUGGAACAAGUAUUCAGAUCCUUAACUUAAGUAACAGUACUAAAGUUACCACCACAGUGUGAAAAUACUCCACCACAACUAGCCUUAAAGUCCUGCAUUCACAACCUUAAGUACAAGUAUGCGAGAAGAGAUGUCGCACUAUUCAUCCUCCCGUAGUUCGUCUCGGGCCACCGACUGUAAAGUGUAUGUGGGUGACUUAGGCAAUGGUGCUGCCAAGGGAGAGCUGGAGCGAGCAUUCAGUUAUUAUGGCCCACUGAGAACCGUCUGGGUGGCCAGGAAUCCACCUGGGUUUGCCUUUGUGGAAUUUGAGGAUCCCAGAGAUGCAGAAGAUGCUGUGAAAGGCAUGGAUGCAAAGAUUCUUUGUGGGUCCCGUGUUCGUGUGGAGCUGUCAACAGGCCUCUCCAGGAAGGGGCGUGGGCGCCCCAGCCGCCGCCAGUUCGACCCCAAUGAUCGGUGUUACCAGUGUGGGGACAGGGGCCACUAUGCCUAUGACUGCUACCGCUUUAGCAAGAGAGGAGGAGGCCGUCGCAGCAGGUCUCGCUCUCAUUCUCGCUCUCGCUCCAGGUCCAGGUCCCGUGGACGACAUUAUCGUUCGCGCUCCCGCAGCCGUAGCCACAGUCGGAGUCGUCGCCGAUCUCCAUCGUAUUCCAGACGCAGGAGCCGGUCUGGCUCCCCAGCACGUUCCAAGUCCAGGACUCCAGUGAGAAGUCGUUCCAGAUCUCGCUCUCGGUCCACCUCUGCACCCAGAGGUCGCUCUGCGCCCAGAGGUCGCUCUGCGCCCAGAGGUCGCUCUGCGCCCAGAGGACGCUCCGUCUCCCGUUCCCGCUCACGAUCUAAGUCCGCCAAUCACAAAAGAAACAGCCAGAACUAGGUGCUCCAUCCUAGGCAGGGAAUCACUGUUAAUUAGACCCCCCUUCCACCCGGGAGCUUCAUGCUGCAACCAAACAACCGCCACUGGACGGUGAGAUGGACGACCACAUCCUCGACACAGAGAGAGAUCUGCAUCUUCUGCCAUGUCUUCGCCCUCUGCUGUUGGCCUGCAGUGGAGUGGAGUGGGGAGGGGUAGAGGACAGUGACCUGGGCCCUCUGUCUGGUGUAGGGAAGUAUAAGUAGAUGAAAGUUUAGACCUAUCUCUUGUGCUCUCUUUUCCAGCUCUUGAUGGCUCUGAACUAUUUAAGGUCAGUGUAGCACCUAAUCAGUCUCACUUGAUCUUGAAAAGAGAACACAUGAAAGACGGUCUAAGCCUGUAAACUGUUCAGACUAUAAGCAGCUAAAACCAGUGAGAUGUCCUCUGUACUCUUGCUUUCCUUUAAACUCGCCAACCCUAGAUGUAGCUUGAUUCUACAGAAAUUAAUUUGCAUACUGACAUAGCAAGAGAGUAAAUUGUAUUUAUUGGAUUGACAAGUGUUAAGUAAAAAUGGUCAGAGUAUUUUCAAUGUUUUUGUUUUUGCUUAAAAUUCCCUAUCCUGAAUUUGGCUAGAUCAAGAGAACUCUCCUGAAAAAUAUUAGCUGUUAUCAGACAAGACCACACCAUUGGUGUGACUUAAGUUGAGCUUCUUUGCAGCACAGUUUUGUUUAUUUUUCAUAUUUUCUUUAAAGCGUGUGGUGGGAGCUGAGCACUGCACUGACACCACAGCUGAUCCCAGGCCCAGGGUCUGCCAGCUGGCGGUGUGUACGUCCUGCGGGAGGGUGACUAAGCGCUGACCUGAGAUCAGCCUUCGCCUGCAUCUGGUGUUAGACAGCGAGAAAGAGUUCGACCUACCGACCGAUCCCUCCCCACAGUGAAUGGGUGACCGUCUGUUCAACCGACGCACACGCUCAGACGAGAUCUGCCCGUGCACAAAUACAGUUGUUCUACUAGAGUCACCCAGCCAGCCAGCCAGCCUUCAGAUGUACCAGAGGGCUGACCCACACAGAUCAUUUAAAUCCAUUACCUUCCUACCAGACCCCCUACCUACCAGAGUUCUUCGGCCUCUGUCUUAGCUUCUGAAAGUGAGAGAAAGAGAGCUGACGAGAGAUCAGUCUUCAAGAACCUCCCAGCGCAGUGUCUCUCCAAGUUGUAGUCAUCCGUCCUACAGUCCUUUCAUCCUUCGCUUCUCUGUACUUGUUGUUUCUGCCACUGUCUCCAAAGUCGUUCCCGUUCAACAAGUCCUCAUCGAAGCCCUACGCCAGCAGCUGACUGAGUGAAGAAGACUUAUUAGUUCCUUAACAGACAGACCCUCAACCCCUGCACCCUGUCUGCUUUUACAGCCCUACAGCAGCCGUUUUUUGUACUUGUACUGUCCGUCUAGUCCCAGUCUUUUUUAAGUUAAAUUUUUCUCCCAAUGACUGUAGUCUGCGUGCACCUUUAGAUUGUUUAAGGUUUAGUCAGUAUAGCAAAAAAUAAAUCAGUUUUCCAUUUGAAAGAGAUUGUUUUAAAUGUCGCUGCUGCUGCAUAGGUCAUGCUUCUUCUCCGAAGUUGCGUAGCAGAAGCUACACCUGUGUUAAGGUAAUACUGAGUGUUGCCAUUGACUUUUAGCAGUGAUCUGAGCAGCUUGUACAGUAAACUUUCAGUGGAAGAUGGCCCAGUUGAUGCAGUUCUUGAGGGUAAAGACAUUGCAUUGAAUAACUGCUUUUAUUCCCUUAAGGUUUUUGCAACUUCAAACUUUUUUCCCCAUUUUAGAAUCGGAAAAGAUUUCCUCUUUUUUUUUCCGUAUGCCUUCCGAUUCUUGCGUUCAAUUGCUGUUCAGCGUUUUCACUUAUGAUGGCAUAAGGAUGUGGUUGCUGGCCCGCAUGCCUUUUAAAUAUGACGUCACAUUUCUACUGCUUGUUGUUACUGUGAUGCACUGCCUAUUUUUUAGUAACUUGAUCAGCUUCACUGUGAGCUGAACAUAUACAAGUGUUGAUCUCUGAGUUGUCCCAGUCACUUUUAAUUUUAAAAUAUAUACAGUGCUGAAGUUUGAUUUCUGUAAGGGCUGCUUUAACAGUUGUGUUCUGUUCCUGGCUUAUAUGGUAAGACAGUGGCCGUUUUGUUUUAGAAUAAACCUCUUCAACAUA